GCCGAGGUAGCUCAGGGGUAGAGCAUCCUGCCGGAAUCGUCAGAAAAGGCGUGAGUUCAAAUCUCAUUCUCGGCC
rnacentral:tRNA from 1 species